rnacentral:rRNA from 1 species
GACGGGGGGGGCAAGUGUUCUUCGGAAUCACUGGGCGUAAAGCGCGCGUAGGCGGUUUGUUAAGUGGGAUGUGAAAUCCCCGGGCUUAACCUGGGAAUUGCAUUUCAAACUGGCCGACUAGAGUACGGUAGAGGGAGGUAGAAUUUCCUGUGUAGCGGUGAAAUGCGUAGAUAUAGGAAGGAAUACCAGUGGCGAAGGCGGCCUCCUGGAUCGAUACUGACGCUGAGGCGCGAAAGCGUGGGGAGCAAACAGG